UACGUAGGGAGCGAGCGUUGUCCGGAUUAUUGGGCGUAAAGCGCGCGUAGGCGGUUUGAUAAGCCGGGUGUGAAACCUCCAAGCUCAACUUGGAGCGGCCACUCGGAACUGUCAUGACUUGAGUCAGGUAGGGGAACACGGAAUUCCAGGUGUAGCGGUGAAAUGCUUAGAUAUCUGGAGGAACACCAGUGGCGAAGGCGGUGUUCUGGCCUGUACUGACGCUGAUGCGCGAAAGCGUGGGGAGCGAACGAGG
rnacentral:rRNA from 1 species